ensembl:processed_transcript Gm10125 predicted gene 10125
GCAGCCCGCGCCCGCCCGCCGCAAGUUUGUUCCCCGCCGCUGCGGCCUGCGCGGAGAGAGGAUCGCGCGCGGGGAGGCGCCGAGGGGCAGCAAGAGUGGAGAAAGUGCGGAAAGAAGCAACAGCCGCUCCACCCGCGGGCGGAAAAGUGGCCGGGCGCGGCGGCGGGAUGCGGCGCAGCUAACGGUCCCCGGCGGCCGCCGGAGCCGCUAGGCGCAGAGGCAGCUCACAAGUGUAGGGCUGGAGCUACAGGAACCAUCCAGGUGCACUGGCUUGGCCUCUGCGUCUUUCUGUGCCACUGUCUCAUUCUGUUUCCGGCUGUGCGUGGAUGCGGAUGGCCCAGAGAGAGAAAGAACACGGAGGAGAAGGUUAGAGACCUGCAGUUCCACCAAGCUCUUGCUUGGCUAUUAAUUGCAUCCAGCUAUGUUGGUGCUGUCAUAGUCCCACCUGGGGUCAUUGUUAAUAACACUCGUCAAGAACUGUGUGGGAACUUCUGCCUCCUUAAAGGGCUUUAGAACUCAUAUGAUAUGUACUCACUGAUAAGUGGAUAUUAGCCCAGAAACUUAGAAUAAAUACCCAAGAUACAAUUUCCAAGACAGAUGAAACUGAAGAAGAAUGAAGACCAAAGUGUGGACACUUCGCCCCUUCUUAGAAUUGGGAAGAAAACACCCAUGGAAGGAGUUAGGGAGACAAAGUUUGGAGCUGAGGCGAAAUGAUGGACCAUCCAGAGACUGCCACACCCGGGGAUCCAUCCCAUAAUCAGCCACCAAACGCAGACACUAUUGCAUGCGCCAGCAAGAAUUUUUGAAAGGACCCUGAUAUAGCUGUCUCUUGUGAGGCUAUGCCAGUGCCUGGCAAACACAGAAGUGGAUGCUCACAGUCAGCUNNNNNNNNNNNNNNNNNNNNNNNNNNNNNNNNNNNNNNNNNNNNNNNNNNNNNNNNNUAUGAACUAACCAGUACCCCCAGAGCUCGUGUCUCUAGCUGCAUAUGUAGAAGAAGAUGACCUAGUCGGCCAUCAUUGGGAAGAGAGGCCCCUUGGUCUUGCAAACUUUAUGCCCCAGUACAGGGGAAACACCAGAGCCAAGAAGUGGGAGUGAGUGGGUAGGGGAGCCGGGGGUGUAUAGGCAACUUUCAAGGUAGCAUUUGAAAUGUAAAUGAAGAAAAUUCCUAAUAAAAAUUGGAAAAAUAAAAAAUAAUAAUUAGGAAGCUAACCUAUUGUUAUAAAAGUGCAAUAGCAACAGUUUAAAGGGUGUUGUGUUCUUUGCUAAUUAGGAUCUCACUUGAUCUCCGUAACAGUACAAUGACUGGAAGAUCCCUUGGAAACUGCGGGUCUUAGGGGUUACUAAACCAAUCUGUCCAGCCUAGGGUGGUCAGGGAUGGGGACACAGUGUGCUGUUGGGUUGAGGUGACUGCAACCCUGGCCUUAACGGACAUCUAAACUAUUUAACCCAAAGUGAUUUGGGCUAGUUAUGGAAAGUGAAGUGUGUAACAGUGCUGACCAAGUGCAGACACCAUGUGAGAACUUGUCAUUUAGUGGCUUAGUGUCCUUUGCCUUGUUUAUUUCUCCUGAUCUCUGAAGAGCUGCCCAGGUGGAACAAGGCAAAUCAUACCUCAAGGUUAUUGAUAGGGAAGUAGAUAUUGUUAGCUUAGAAGGUAGAUAUCUGCCCAGCUCUGGUACUUUAAAGGCAUAUUAUAAAUAUAAAGGUUUUUUUUUAUCUUUUGUCUGGGAACUGAACAAUCAAAGGUGGGGUUAGAGAUUAUUACCACACUCGAUCCUCCAUUCUCCAUGAAAUACAUCCCUUCUAAACCUGGAGGACCCUAUCCUUGCUUGGCUUCUCUGACACUCUCAAGCAACUCCUUGUCAGGCCCUCUUAGUUGUUGACCUCCCUACACUGCAUGCCAGAGAGCCAGGCUCUGCCCCAGAUUCUUUACAGUUUCUCUCUCCACUUUGUUUUUCUGAUUCUCAUCUUCAUACCAGAGACUUAAUAUCUGCCUGCCAAUGAACUAUAUCUAAGGUCUUAAGAUGGUCGUCAGCACCUACAAUUGCCCCACCUUAGAUGAGAUACUCUUUCUUUCCUGUCCUUCACUCUUUCCUAGCUGCACCAGCCUUGUGUCAUUCCUUGAAAUGCCAGACACAUUCCUACCUUGGCACAGAAGCCUACUUCUAAAUCCAAAUUGGAAUGCUCUCAUGAAAAUGUGGUACAUUGAUCAAUACUAAUUUUUAAAUGCUCUUAUUAAAGGAAUUCAUAAUGUAA